rnacentral:snRNA from 1 species
AUACCUUUCUCGGCCUUUUGGCUAAGAUCAAGUGUAGUAUCUGUUCUUAUCAGUUUAAUAUCUGAUACGUGGACCAAUGGUCCACACGAUAUUAAAUUAAUUUUUUUAAGGGGUGGGUUCAUCACAGUAGCUUGCUACUGGAACCCACACGUGUCAUCUUUGCGUUGCACUAUAGCAAAGCUUGGCGCACCCUAC